rnacentral:lncRNA from 1 species
AGUAAUAGGAUCUUUUCUAACUCGUUAGAGGUUACCCGAAAGGGCGCAAGAGGGGCUUGCCACUUUGGGUGUAGUGCUGCCCCUGUUUCUAUGAGUAUAGCCACGAUGGAAAUGUGCCAUAGAAAAGGGGGGUUUUCUACAUCUGCCUGCCGAGGAAACCUCACGGCCCUAACUGGUUAGAAUACGCCUAUGGAAGGCUUCAUAGUGUACCCUGCCCGCUCACCUUGGUAGUGUUUGGGGGUCGACGGACCCCGGGCAUAUGGGCAACACGACUCACGGUGAAAGUGCACAACCUCUGUGUAACACCCAAAAUUUUGAUUUCAAUUAAUAGGAAUUUAAUUUGAUUUAUUUAAGUAUUUUUGUGGGCAUUUGAAUUUAGCAAACAAAUAAUUUUGUGAAGAUUAAAACACAUCAUAAGUUUAGAAACGUGAUUUUGCAUUCAUGCCGGAGCAUAGAUAAUUUUUGUAUUGUUUGUUCUGGUUUUAUCUUAAUUGUUUGCUUAAAAAAACUCUUUUGGAAAAUGUCUUGGAAAAAGAAAUCAGAAAAAGAAAAGAAAAAAAAAGGAGAGAAGAACCCUGGAAACUAGCCCAACUGCGCCUCCCUCUUCCCCCUCUCUUCGGCCAGGCGCGGCCCAGCUUUCCCUCUUUCCUUCCCGGCCCAGCUCCCCUCUCUCGGCCCGUGAACAGCCCAGCGGCCAAGCCGCGCGCUCUCUCCCUCUCAGACUCUGGUGACCGGGCCCCGCCCUUCUCCCACCGACAGCACGGCCCCACCCGUCAGCCGACUCCUUCUCCUCCUUCCUUUCUUCCCCACCGUAACCGAACAGGAGACCACCGAACGAGGAACGACAGAGAAAUCCCGGUUUAUUCGGGAUCCCUUGCCAAUCCGCGUGUCAUGGCUCUAUAAAGCUCUCGAACAACCUCGUAGACCCCCUUUUGUCAUCUAUUGCACCCC